CGAUCUCUUCGUUGAAGUAAUGAAAUGACAAUAAAACGGUUCAAAAAGCGAGGGAAAGUUUUUCACUAAACCCUCAUUUCUUGAUUUCUUCAAUCAAGACCACAAGAAAUGAGGGUUUCAUUAGUUACUUCCACCUGUGAACAGUUUCCUCUGGUGACUUUCCUUCUUGGGUUUCUAUCUGUUUGCCGGUUCCAUUAGUUACUUCAAUACACUCAGCUGCCUCCCCAGUGGUUCGCUCAUCCCACAUAAUAGUCACUAGCUAUGGAGGUGGUCAGUUGCAAGGUGAACGGUCAGUUAUGAAUUUUGUUUGAUUCGGGUGGUUUUUCGUUGAAGAUGUGGAAGUCAACAAGAUUCUUUCAUUAGCCGAGUCUCACCUUCACUGGUUCGUGGAUCGAAUAUCAGAAUUACUUUAGGGGCCAAGUAAUCGUUUUUCGUCAGGAAUGGUCGUGAGAAAGCUAGGGUGAUAAGGCACUGUUGAGUCAAAUUUUCACCUCAUUUAUUCCUACCAGUUUAGUGGAAACUUUACUGAACAGUGCCCACUCCUCUGAAGUGAAAAAGCUUAUCAAUCAAUUCGAUGAAAAGUCUUGUAUCCUUUUAGGAAAAACAGUCCCCACACCUCUGUAUAUGGAUCGUAAUCACUAAAGAUUUUAUUCCAAUCAUUUCGGAAUUCAUAUGCUAUAGACACAUGUACAAGGAUUAUCUAAGGUAAGUAGGGGAAGCUAAUGAAGGGCAUAGUGUAUAAGAUAUUAACAAUAAUACAUAUUGUUAAAUCACCCCUGAAUUUCUGGUAAAUUUACCUUUUAGUCAUGCUACACCACUCUUCGCUUUUGGGCUUGAAAUUGACAUGAGGCGAAGAGGGUCAGAACGUGGUUAUGAAUAUUAAUUGGCGGGAGAUGACCUUCAAGAUAGUUGUCUGAAUAUAUGGACUCUUGUGCCAUUUUAAAUCAUUAACCAAUCUAAAUAAAGUUAAGCUGAUGGGUGACACUAAACAUAAUUUUAUUCAUAGUUCAACACAAAAUACCAAUACAAAUACUAUUAUGCCCUCCUCAGGUCAGUAUUGAAAACGAAGUUACGGAGCACCAUGAGUUACUCCCUACAGUGAUGUGUUUAUUUUUUAUAGUUUAUGAAUACUCACUAAGAAGUGUUCAUUUAUGUGUGUCUUCCUUGUAUGCUGAUGCUUCUUUUUGUGUUUUUCCUUGUAUUCUGAUGUGUACUCAUCUUCCUUUUUAGGUUUGUAAACAUCGAAAGCCAAGGAAACUAACUCAAUACUGGCUUGGAUAUUCUUGUGGUGCAAUUGGUCUUUCAAUCUGUUCUGCUUGGCUUGUUCAACAUAGUAGUUUAAUGGGGAGCAAUGACAUUGAUAAUUGGGUUCGCGAAGCACAUAAUUCAGCAGCUAGUUUUUUCAAGGAUCAUGUAGAACAACCGGUACUAUUUUUACUAUUUGAAUUUGGUUUCCUUUGUCAUGAUUGGAAAUUUGGAGCACCUUUGUUUAUUUUCUUUACCACUGUAUUUUACUUUUCUUGGGUUUGGUCUUCAGUAUGGUUGAUUAUUAGGCUUAAAUAACUUUAAAGUCUCUCUUCAUGUCAUAAUGAAUACUUUUUAAUUUAUCAACUGUGAGAAGACGUGCUUUGUUUCCCAAUAUGAGUGUUUUGAGUGUUUGUUGGCCAAGGAGGUGAUCAAGGGUAUUCUCUUCCUACUGAAUUUUCUAUGCACAAUGACCUUUCUUGUCGUAUGUAUCCAUUAUAAAGGAUCUAUGGGUAUGCUUAGAGAACUUUUGGGCAUGCUAAUAAUUAUUACUGGUUUCUUGGAGGGGUCAAGGGUCUUUAAUGUUGCUUUGUUAAAGUAUCUUUUUUAAUGAGACUUGUGAAUAAUUUCAUUGAUGGGAUGAAAUUACAAAAUACUAUUUCAUUGUGAAAUAAGAGAAGUAAGGUUGUAAUCACAUAAGUGUGGGGUGAAUUUACACCAAGGUUGUAUACAAAAGAUGAUUGAAAAAGUGAGUGAAGUCGAAUUCCUUAUCUUUGAAAGUACGAUGGCUGCAUUCGUUCCAGAUGAGCCAAAAGAAGGCUUUUACAAUGAAGCACCAGAAGGCCUCUUUUUUGUUUUUGAAUGGAUGACCAAUCAGUAGCAGAUAUAAUUAAAAAAUUUCAUAAUCCAAUUUAAUAUAUUAUUAGAGUAGGAGAUCUUGUGUUCGAACUCUUUUAAUGUCAUUUCUUUCGAAUUAAUGCGAUUUUCACUUGUUUGACCUUACAAAUUUUCAAGUUCACAGGUGAAGGAGAUCGUUAAAAUAUUGAUAUAAUUACAAUUUAUCAUAAGCCAUCAGCUUGAGCUCUUGGAUUGAUGGAUGAAACAUGCCGGUUGAGUUGAGAAGUUUGAUGAUGGUUGAAGAACUAGAAAUAUUGAAUUCUUGGGCGAUUUCUUGAUGCUUGUGGUUGUCUUUGGCUUGGUUGGUUUCUGUUUGAUAAAUGGUUGUCUUGUGCAUUGGAUCUUAGGGAUUGUAGAAUUAGUUUGAGGAUUGUUUCCCUAGAGCUUCUCCAUAGACUAGGUUCACAAGGCUUGCCGCUUGUUAGUAUUGAAUCCUUCCAAGAAGUGAUAUGUUGAGUGUUAUAAGAUUAAAUUUACCUUCACUUAUUAGCUUAAGCUUUUGGGUCAAUCAAUAAUUUAAGAUAUUAUCAGAGAGAUGUGGUCCAGGAUGUCAUGUGUUCAAGUCCAAACGUUGUUUCCUCCCCAAUUAAAAUUGAGUUUCAUUGUUGGAUCUUUCACAUAUUUCAAGCCCACAAGUGAGGAGGGGUGUUGAAUGAUAUAAUAUUUAAUUUACUUUCACCUAUCAACUUAAGUUUUUGGGUCAAUCGGUGAUUUAAGAUGAAUCCUUAAAAUGGUUAUCAAAAUAGGCUUGAUGUCCAUGCUAGGGUGCAUACAUGAAAUCUACAUUAUUGUAACUUAAUCGUGAUUGAUUUCUAACAACUGAAGUGACAAUUAAAAAACUCCUGGAAUUGAUAUUCCAACUCCCUAUUUUGCAGCUUAUUUCAAUUAGAGAUGAACUUUUUGAUACAUUUAGAAAGAGGCAUAAAGGUGUGAUGGAGGUUCAAGAGGUUCAGUUAACUGCUAUCUCGCUGCACAGGUGAUUGUCGUUCACUGGCUUAAUGUUUCUCCAACUCUGAGCUCCAAUUUAUUGUUGGAAAUGAGAAAUGUCAGUCUUGCACAACUUAUUUCAUCUCCAAUCAUAAAAUCAAGAACUUUUUGAAAAACUGUUUUAAUGAAAAGCUUCGUAUCCUACGUUGGUGAUAGAAAUAAGUUGUGCAGCGAGAUUUUUGAAGGAAGAUUCUGCAUUGUGGUGACAAGUAAUUAAAAGCAUUCAUGGCUGCCAAAAAUUUGAGUGGCAGACCUAAAUAAAUCAGGAAACAGCUUAAGAAGUCUGUGGAUCAGUAUAUCUAGAGAAUGGAAUAAGGUGGAAAUGUUGGCCCCUUUCAAGAUUGGUAAUGGCAGAAGGGUGGGUUUCUGGAAUAAGGUCACCACAACGCAGAAUCUUCUGUCAUAACAAACACACCCUCAGUCACCAACCCAUUUGGGUUGAGUUUGAUCCAUGUCAAUAUGGUGGAGGUUAAUGACAUUUAGUUAACUUUUAUUCUUUCCAUAUGAUAUUUUCUUCUCACAUUGACUUUUUCUUUCGACUAAUAGUUGAUAAAGUUACGAAUUUGUCUUGAAAAAUUGUUAAUUUAGCAGCUGUAGGUGAUCGUUUCCCUAAAUUUUUCAAAGAAUUGUGAUUCAGUAUAAAUAUUUCUGCGGAUAUUGAAACUGCAAUUCAUAAGCCUAUAAUCUUGGACGAAAGAAUAAUUUUACUUGUUCUAUGAAAUGGUAAUUUGGAACACAUUAAACAAAACUAAUAUUUAAUCAUAAUCUUAAUAAAAUAGUUAUCAGAAACAUGUUUCACUAGCAUGUUUUGUGGAAAACAAAACUAUUUUUUAAACAAUUCUCAUACAAGCCCUAGAUUUACGGCAACAUCCACACACACAUAUUUAUGAAGAAAAAAAAAUUUAAGAAUCGUUCUCUUCUUUCCAGAAUGUUACUUGCUUUCAGUGAGCACACAAAAGGCCAGAAGUUUCCAGACGAUGCAUCGGAUCAAGAAAUGCUUGCAAUAGUUAUGACCAGGUUAUCCUCCAUAUUUUGUUUGUUGUUUUAUCUGCCAUUGCAAGGUGCAUGGAUUUGUUCUUGAAAACUGAGUAGGGCUGGCAUUUCUUAUAAUCAGUGUUAUUGGAUCUUCUUUGGACCAUAUUUCUCUUGAUUCCGUAAUCAAUGGAUUGGCAAUUGAACACUGAUCUCACAAAUAAUUGGUCUAAACAUCGAAUAUUGUGUCAUUCUUCAUAUUAUGUCCCAAAUUCAACUUUCUCCUCUUGGUUUUCUAGCGAGUUCUUCAAUCACAUUGGGACACUGCUGUUUGCUCUAUUGAAGUUUACAUCAACAGCUUGGGUAAUAUUUAUCAACACGCAUGUUUCCUCUUACUUCAUUGCUCUCUUAUGUGGGGGGUUCAAAUGUUGUUUGACAGUAGACACCUUUUUUUUCCCACUUUUUCUCUCUGCAAAUUUCGUGGAAGAUAGUUAAGUUCUUUGGGAGUUAGAUUGGUUAUUCCUACUUUGGUAAACGAAAAGACAGCUUGUUUUGUGGAAUCUGUAUACAUAGAACGGCAAGUCCUUUGGCAAUACAAUUAGAAGUGUCAUUUGAAUGCUUUGCUAGAAAAACACAAAUAUUUUCAGAAAUUCUACAAAGAAACCUUUUUAUGUGUGUGUGCGUGUUUUGUCGCUAACAGAGAGCUUUCACUUAAAUUUCACAACUAUUCUUAUAUUAAUGCGAUAUUUAAAAUCAUGCUUCCUCUGAGAAAACAUUGUAAUAAUCUAAUGUCAAUGUUCAUCUAAAUGAAUAAUUUUUUUCAGUGAUGGAUAUCAAUUGUUUUUCCUAUAUAGGUAUGAAAAAGAACUGAUGCAUCCCAUUCAAAAUCUUCUUAGCGGAGAGCUGGCCCGUGCUUUGCUUAUCCAGGUUGUUACACGCUCAUUUAUUAUCUCUAUAUGUACGGAUACACUAUACUUGAUAGUAUUCUGUUUGUGUUGUUGCAGGUGCAGAAGCUAAAAUUAGAUAUUGAGACGUAAGUUAAAAAACUUGCAACUUUUGGCACUCAAUACAUUAUAAAUCAUCAUCUUCCAUUUGUGGUUCAUAUUAUGAUGGCUUUUAAACAGGGCAAUGCUUGAGCUUGACCAGAUUCUCAAGGCAAAUGAAAUCAACUUUGCUGUUCUAGCUGCAUUGCCUGCAUUCUUUCUCUCACUUCUUUUCCUGAUGCUUUUGCGUACGUGGUAUAAACAGGUAUGUGAACUAAAAGCAAGUUUAGUUUAUAUCUUUUAAAGUUAAAUUAAAGUUUGAUGUUGUGCAUUCCGGAAAGACGUCGUAGUAUGACAGUCACACUAGAGUGCUGAUACCUUCAUCUGUUACAUAGUCGUUAAGUUGAGUGGGUAGUGGGGCUAUCAACUUACUUAGAUUACUCUUAAACUUGGUCAAGUAUCCAAACCCCCAAGCCCACAAUACAUUUAAACAUUCUUUUAUGGUGUGUAGAUUUUUUAUAUUUUCCAAAUUGCCUUAAAUCAUCUGAGCUUUAAUAAUUCUUUGAUCCAAAAGAAACCAGACAAAGUUAAAUUUUACAAUUCAUCUACCCGAAGAAUCCAAAAGCUAAAAUUGAGCAUCCUUUAGUUGAAAUUUAUCUUCUAUUGAAAUUAAUACAAAUACUUAUUUAGUUUUGUCGAGGUGCGCAUAAGCUAGCUUAGACACUCAUGGAUAUUAAAGAAAAAUACAAAUACAUAUUUAUUUAGACCCCGUUUCAUAAUAAUUUCAAUUUUAGUUUUCUGUUUUUGAAAACUGUGCUAGUUUUCUCUAUCCUCUUACUAUAUUUUCCCCUCUUUUUAUGAAACAUCUAAUAUCUAGGCCAAAUUUCAAAAGCAAAAACAAGAUUAUAAAAACUAUAUCUAUAUUUGUACACAAUUUUUAAAAUUGGGAUGAAUUUUGAAAUCUUAUUAGAAAGUAGAUGACAAAACCAAGAAACUUAAGGGUGUUACGAGGAGUAUCAUGACCUAAUUUUCAAAAGAGCUAUCUUCAAAUAUAGCAAAAUGAACCAAAAUAUUUACAAAAUAUAAUAGAAUAUCAUAGUCUAUCUGCAAUGGACUGCUAUGGACCAACUAGUAGAUAAACUCCUAUUUGAUAGACACAUAUGGUAAUCUAUCGUGAUCACAUAUAAAUUGUGAUAUUUUGCUAUAUUUGUAAGUAUAUUUAGAAGUUUUGCCAUUUAAAAUAAUUUCUUUAAAAAACUAAAUACAAAGUAAUGUUACUUAUACGUGGAUAAGAAACAUUUGAUUGAUGAAUGAAAUAUCCAAAAAUUACAAUAUGGAGGGUACGCCAAAUAUCAAAAGAUGCCCAAAACACAGGAAAAGAUACAACCGAUAAAGAUAAUAAGCAAAUGCGAUGAACUAAAGAUUUACAACCAAAUUGAAGAUAGAAAACAAAACUACAGGGGACCUGAUGUAAUACUACAAGGAAGCACAUGUUGGAAUACGACACAUGAUAGAAAGCCCAAAAAAUCAGGUCCCAAACGACCAAGUUCAAGAAACAAACAAGGAGGAAGUCAAUAGCACACUCAUGUUGAAGAUGACCCUUCUCCAAUCGAAUCUUUAGACCUUGCCUUAAUUUUACUAAAUGAAGCCUUAAUUUUGUAACUUCAUUUUGAUUAAUUUUGGGUUGUUUCACAUGUGUUUUUAGUUUUUUCUUUGUCUAAUAUCACUCUAUGUUAGUUUAUUUGCAUAAAAGGAGACAAAGUCAGUUUAUUUGCUCAUUAUGACAUUUAGGAUACUAGAGCUGAAGGGAAGGGGAGAGCUGCUCGGCUUCAGAGAAGACUACUAGUUGUGGAGGUGGAGAAAGCAAUAAUGCAAUACCAGAGUUUUGUUGAUCAAGGACGUGUAAGGCAUUCAUUCUACUUGUUGGCUUCUCAACAUGUUUCUUCUCUGUUUGUUGACAUUUUGUUGCUAUAAAAGAAUUUUUUUUAGUUUGCAGAUCAGCAUGUGAAUGUAAACGUUAUGGAAUAAUUAAACCUAGUACGUUAAGCCACAAGUUUUUACUCUUUAUUUGCUAUAGAAAUUAGACAAUACACUAGUUAGGAAAGAGAAUAUCAAAGAAGAGGAGAGCGGACCAGUAAUCUAAAUCAACCUUCAAAAUUUUAAGGGGAUUAAAUUAAAACUUCCAAUUGGUUCUAAUCAAACAAAGGUAGAGAAAAAAUGUAUUAAUUCGCAGUCUAGGACUCUAGAGAGGUGCCAACGCAUGCUCAGUAGAAAUCUUUUCUAUCUGAAAAAAAUUCCCUCUUUCUUACUAUCCAAAAUUUCUACAAAAUGUCAAAAGUCAAAACAUAGCACUUGUCUAGAUGAUUUAGCUUUGCAUUUAGGGUUGGGUAAAUCUCCCACAAAAUGUAAAACAUUGAACUUGUUCUAGUGACCCUGGCUUUCUUCUUUAGAGUAGGAUUAUUGAUAUGGAGGAGGUGCUCCUCCAUCCCCACCUUCCACAACAAGGGGCAAGCCGUGUGGCAUUUGCUUUCUUUUACUUUUAUGGUUGAAGAGAAACAGGAAAAAAAAUUAAGAGCUUGAGAAAACUUGGGAGGAGUUGUGGUCGAUGUUGGGUUUAGCAUCUCUCUUUGGCCAUUAAUGACUAAGACUUUUUGUAACUAUUCUCUUGAUUUGGUUCUUUUAAGUUCACUUUUUUUUUUUUUGUUAUUAUUAAAAUUAAAUUUACUAUAAUCUACCAAUUUAAGCUUUUAGAUUGAUUAGUGACUUAAUAUGAUAUUAGAACUUUUAGAUUUUCACUUCCUCUAAAAUUUUUUUAAACAAGCACAGAACUUUUUAUUGAUAAAAUGAAAAGGGACUAAUCUUCAAAAGAUGGAGAUUCCACACGGGAGUGAAGAAGAAAAGUGAUAAAAGAGGAAAAAUAACGAUUCACAGUUACAAUGAAAGAUACAAGGCGUUCCAAAUAUUACAUAUAACCUUUGAAGAGAAGCCAACAAACGUAACGACCUAGCUUUUCUAAACUAAGUUGUGGUCGUUUUCAAAAGUAAAAACAAUGUCAAAUCCUCAAAAACGAUGUUUGUAAAACAGAAGUAACCAAAAAACCAUUAAAAGAAAUUAGUUGUUCAGGCCCUAAGUAAAACAAUAAAAACAAUAUGUUCAUAAUAAAACCAUCUCAGACAUGGUAUAGAAAACAUAAGAAAAUCAUGAAAGAUAGCGGAAGCAAUAUCGUAGCGGUCCUCAUUUGGCCAGUCAUGGGUAUAUAAAAUAGGGAUUUGUCUAUCCUAAAAAGGCAAACACAACAUACAGAAGAAUAAGUUGUUUUUCUUCACGUUGCUUUAUUGGCAUUUAGUAUCCUGAGAGAAGAAUGAAAAUGUUCCCAUUUUUCUGAUUUGCAGGUAAAAGAUGCUGAAUGUAGAUUUGGGUUACUGUUGUAUAGUUUGGGUCGGUUGUACCAUGCUUCCGAGAAGCAUGCCAAAGCAACUGGUGAAUGGCUACAGUAAGUCUUAGUUCGGCUUUUCUUCUCUCUUUCUAGGGAAUACUUCCGAUCAGCAUGUGUUCCAGAAUAAUAAAGAUGCAGUAACAUGUCCUGCAUUAUUUAGAGAAUAAUCGUUUGAAAAUUGACGUGAAAACAUGCGUGAGGAAUAGCAUUUUCAUAUAUAUUUACUUUUUUCACUCAUCUUAAACAGGAAUUUAUUUAAAGAGAAAUUUUCUGAGUAAGGAGAGGCUAAAACAAUCCUAACAUGUCCUUCAAAACACCAUCUACAUUUUUUAAACAAGAAAUUAGAUUUUUUAUUAAUUAAAUGAAAAGAUACUAAUACUGAAAUAUAUACAUACUAUAGGGGAGGGAAAAAGGAACAGAAACGAGAAAUAAAAAAGAAAAGUGCCUAAAACCGACAAAAAGAACCGAAAGAUUUGCAAAUAGCUUAAGGUUUCAACCAAACUUGAAACUUCAAAAAAACCUCAAAGAACCAAAUACAUCAUAACAUCCCAUCCUUCGAAUUGAAAAUUAAAGGGAUGUUAGUGCUUAUUUGCAUAAAUCCUCAUCUACAAAUGCACCAAUUGACCCAAAAGUUUAAGCUAGUGAGCGAAAAUAAAUUUAAAAUUAUAUCAUUCUAACAACCUUGUUGUGCUCUAUCUUCAAAUUAAUGAGGGAUAGACUUUGACAUAUAGGAACUUGCAAUGAAUGUCAGCCAAUAUGACAUGUCAGGAGGCACUUUUUUUGUCUUUAGGCAAGUUCUAGAAGAAAAGUGGCAUAUCCCAUCUCUCCCUCCUCCCCAGCCGAAAUUACCUUCUCACCUCCUUUCGUAACCAUGGAUGUUGGUCAAAACUCUCAUAAUGGUUGCUUCCCUCAUAGCAGUUAAACGUGCUGAAGAACAGAAGGUUUUUGUUUUAGAUUUUGAUAGUAGGAAGGGUAGCAGUGAGAUUUUUUUUUUCUUUUAUACUUAUCGAUAUCAUCUCCUUGGGACCACUCUAGGAACAGAUCUUGGGAUAUGACAAAACUGUGAGAAAUCACUUUUGUACUAUGGAUCAUUCCCAUGAGCCAUUAUUGGAGUUCAGAACUUAGUAUCUUUGGAACCUUUAGCCACAAUGAGAUUAGAAAAGAUAGGAGUAGAGAUUAAAUGAAGGGAAAUAGUUUUACUUGAGAAGAACUUCACAGGGCGACUUUUAAUAUGCUUAACUAAAGAAAGGUAUCAAAGUAAAUUUACUCAAGAUAAGUUAAGAGGAGGAGCAAUUUGAUGAAAUUUUACAAAACAUCAAACAAUUUUGGGUUGAAUAAUAAGUCGGACACAUAAUGAGAUUAAGAGAAUACGUGAAGUAGGAAACAAAUAUCUUCUUUGAAACCUGUUUCUGCAGUUUGUUGCUUGGCUCUCCCUCUUUUUGUGAAUUUUUUUUAUGUCCUUUAUUCUUUCAUUUUUUUUUCAAUGAAAACUUAGUUUAUCAUUAAGAAAAAAAAGAAGCAAAUAUCCUCUUUAAAACAAGGAAUCCUUUGACCAUCGUCUAUCAUUAUCAUCUCCUUGUUGCACUCGUUCUUUAUCAGCCCCCUUUUCGUGUUCUUUUUCUUUUUGUGGUUUAUUGAAUUUUAAUUCUCAAAAUCCUGGUCUUGAUCUUACGUAAAAGCUAUUGCUUUUUUAGAUAAAUCACAUCUUAAGAUUGUAUUCACUCUGCUCUUCGCUUGAGUUUUUAAUGGGAAAUGGACAGAGCAAGCGGUUUGUUGUUGUGCACACUAAAUUGAGCACUUAAUAGUUACUUGUAAUGUAAAAAUAUUAAAUUUGGUUAUUGUGCUUUUCCAUAAUGUAGUACAUCUACAGUAAGCUGAUAUCUAACUUGAUAAACAGUUUGAGGCAGGAUAUUUUGGACCUGGGAAAGCCCAGUCUUCCAACAAGAGAUAAGCUCAGAAUUACGUGGCGCAUGGAACGGGUAUACGAUUGUUUACUUCCUGCAUUGAAACGUUCAUAACGAUCAACUUUUUCUUCUAUUCAACUCUCCAGAACAUUUAUUAUUAUUAUUAUUUACUGAAUGGAAGUAUUUUGCUCCCACUUCCAAGCCUAAUGCUUUUUUCAACCUGCAUUUCGGCCUCAGUUAAACCACCUAGUUUUUGUUGUUGAGAAAGAAAGAUGCACAAUGAUGUCUGGCGUUUUGCUUUUUAUUGUCCUGAUAACUUUUGUCUUCAUGUCAGUUUUGAACUCUGUAAGAAUACUCUUUAGUAAUGAAAGAACUGUUUAAAUUCAAGUUCAUCGAUGGAUUCAUGAGUGUAUCUAGCAACCUUAGUCAUAUUAGAGAAAAUAAUUGUUUUUAGGAAAAAAGAAGUGUAGUUUCGUUUUUAUACUUGGUUUUGUGAAAGAUAAUAAUCUUAGGAACUUACCACCAAUAGCAAAGUAAUCUUGAAGCCCUCUUGGAGCCCUCCUUUUGCUUUGUUGUAGUUUGUUGGUGUGUUCGGAACACAUUUUGAACCGUUUAAUCUAAAAUGUAAAAUUAUUUUUGAAACAAUUGGCAUGCUUAACAACUACUUAAUAUAAGUUUUCUCAUAAGAAUUUAAAUAAAAAUGAGUUUUUUGUAUCCUUAAUCUAUUAAUUAAGCUACUCAGCCCAGCAUAAUAGUUAUGUUUUUCAUAUUACUGGCACUUAAAUUGGAUGUCUUGUUAGUUUUAGGUAAGAUAAAUCUAGUUAACUAUAACUUAUUGCCAUUUUAGAGUUGAUUUUGUGUAAUUGGAUCACUCUAUUCUAUUAUAUGUUCAACAAAUUAUAAAACAUACUUUUGUUUUUUUAAAACAAAUUGUGAGCUUUAGUUGAUUUUGUUCGUGAAUCAAAUGGUUAACGUGAGUUCAGCUCAACUGACAUUAUGUUCUUGAGGACAAUAUGUCACGGGUUCAAAUCUUCCACUUCAAGUUGUACCUAAUAAUACAUUUUAAAAAACUUAAUCUUGAUCAAAACAAAAUUUUCAAUUUUUGGAGAAAACUGAAAUCAAAUCGAUUAAACAACGAGUGAAACUAAGCAAUCGAAACUGAAUCAAAAUCAUAGAUAAAUUACGUCAUCCAAUCCCACAACAAGUUUAAAUGGUUUAAUUCUCAAUUUACGAAGUAAUAGACCACAUGUGAAAUUUUAUGGGUUAGGAUAAACUUUCUAUAAAAAAAUUCAUGUCUCAAUUGUGCCUACUCACCAUCUUGACAACAUAACACUUUAAUAUUAAAUUUUAUCACUAAUAAUAUAUAUUUAGUGGACGACUCGGUUUUUUAAUAUGUUUUUUUGACCUAACUUGAACCUGACCAAGUAGCUCGUUUUAUAUAUUAUCAAUUUGAACCAAAAAACAAUCAAGUUUUAACUCGAAUGGAUCAACAAUUUGGGUCGGCUUAGAUCAUUUUUACUUGCACUCAUGACAUGAAGAAUGCACGUGAUGCUAUUUUUGUACAUACCCGUCUCAAAAGGAGGUUCCAUAACUUGGUUGGGCUACCAUAACAUUUCGCUCUUGGGAAAAUUGUUAUAAAUCAUUAAUUUGAGGUGAAUCACACACUUAAUCCUAUAAUUAAAAUACAAUUCAAAUUCAGUCUACACUAUUAUUAUUAUUAUUUUUUGUAUACAACAAGAUAAGAAAAGAAGCUAUAGAACACCACAAGAUAUAAGUAAUGAAAAUCAUCGGGAAAAGGAAAAAGUAGAAUAUAAAAAAAAUCUCUCAGUUAAGGUCCUUAUUGCAAAGUUUCUUGAAUGAAAAUCGGAUACUUUAGUUAGAUUAGAUCUAAAUCGAUUAUAAUUUAUCGGGUUGGCUACCUCCAAACAAUUAAAUUCCACUUAUAUCAGAAUCAACAUUUCUAAUUAGAGAUGCAUUAUCCGCCAACUAGACAAACUCAUCAAUAAUCACCAACUAUAUAAUUUUUUUCAUUUUACAAUCAUUUAAAAUUUAUUAAUAGACAAAAAAAAAAAAAAUGGAAAGUGAGUACUUCAUUAACAAUAGUAAACAUGUGAAUCUUGAAACUAUUAAAAGAGUGACAAUAUAACAUCAUAGAACUAAGACCUAAAAUUGAAGAACUAAAAAUGAAAUUUUCUCAUAAUUUUAGCACUGACUAGACCGAUGAUCGUCGAGUUAUUUUUCAAAAGAAUUGUUACAAAGAUGGUGGCUCGGUGAGUGGUGGGGUCUUAGUUUUCCAAAUGUAUUUAUUUAUUUAAGACAAAAAGGAGUGCACAUGGAGGAAGCAGGAAAUUUUUUGGGAUCUUCGCCGGAGAAAGCUUGUCGGAGAAAUAAGAACCAUCGGAGCAACGGUGGAUAUUUGAAGCUGAUGAUGAUCGUUGAUGAAUUUUAGUUUUGUCUAUAGUGAAAAAAUAGGGAUUGGCACUUUGGUGAAAUCGGGGGCCAAAUCUCCUCAUUCCAAUUACUGCUGAGUUGGUGCGGAAAGUUUGGUAUCUUCUUCCUCGCGAAAACCCUAAACCCUUCUUUCUCUCUUAGCUCUUCCCCAUGGCGUCGUCCUCUUAUCUUCCUUUGGUUUCUGGUAAUUCCAUCUAAUACUCUGGGCGCUUUGAUUUUUAUGCUUUUGUUGAUUCUGUUUGAGUGCUUGAAGGGAUUUUAGGAUAUUUGUACAGUUGGGUUAGUUCUUGUAUCACUGGUUGUGUUAAUGCUGACUUGUUUUGUAUGGGAAAAUGGUUUUCAUGGAAUAUUCUCUAAUGCUACUAGGUUGGGGUUGAAUUACGUCUACUCGUAAUAGCCGAACUGACAUUAAAAUGAGUUCGAACUAUAUAUCUCAUUUGUCUCGUAUGUGUAUGUGUGUGUGUAUAUAUAUGUUUAUAUGUGCAUAUGUAUCUGUAUAUAUGUAUAUGUGUAUAUAUAGAUGUAUGUAUGUCUAUGUAUGUGUAGAUAUCUAUGUAUAUGUAUGUGUAUAUAUAUGCAUAUCUACGAGUAUAUGUAUAUCUAUGUGUAUUUAUAUGUAUAUUGAGGAACUUCACCAUGAUCCUAAUAUUUAGCAGACAAAAUGGCAAGCGGAGAGUUCUAACGGGAAAUGAAAAGACACUGUGCAUAAAAUUUGUUUCUUUAUUUGGAAUUCCAUCAAUAUCUUUUUCAACAGUAAUUUGUUGAAGAAGAGAAGCACAGCUCCAAUGGAGGCAACGCCAAACGAAAGCGAAGACAAGGGAAUCGGAUCCUCAAUUUCAUUAUACUCCUUUCAUUUAUGGAACCAAAUUGUAUCAUUUUUGCCAUCUCGUCAUGAUUCCAAUUUUCUUUGGAAGCUUUCGAGUCUCCUUCGUCGAAAGAGACGCAAGACUGGUCUUCCUCUUCCUCUACCUUUGAACUCGAUAAACUCUUCUGUGUAAGUCGCUUUAGUUCUACACUUUUUAUUUAUUUUCCUUUAUCUUUUGUUCCAUUUUAUUCUACAUAGCAUAUUUAUUUUUCUGGAAGUCUAUAUUUGUCUCGUAGUUUACAGUCUACACAACUGCAACUAUUUUAGUGGCAGAAGUUAUCGUCUGGUUGUGCCGUGUGAAAUGGAUAUGGAGAUAUCCUUAAUUUGAAGUUUCAUAAAAGGCUGAGGCUAUGAUGUUGUAUGAAAUGGAAUGAAAUUCACAAUGCCACCACAACUAGAUAUGAAUUCCCCCCCCCCCCCCCCACACAUCGCGUAGUAUUGUCCGAUCAUUGUAGUCCUCUCACCGAUCAUGAGUCUUUGGAGAUAGCGAGUCUUAUUUCCAUUAUUUUCAAUAAGAGGAUUUUUGUUGGGAGAACGGAGAAGGGAUGUUUGUUUUUGGAUUCCUAAUCCGUCCAAACGUUUCUCAUAUCACUAUUUUCUAUUUGUUUUUGUUCCCUUUCUCCCAUUUAAGAAAACUCAAAAUUUUCUCUUUAUGGAAGGUGAAAGUUCCUAAGAAAGUGAAAUUAUUUGUUUGCCAGUCUUACAUGGAAGAGUGAACACUCGAGAUCAUUUGCAACGACAUUCUUCCUUCGCUCUAUGUUUGCAUUGGUGUGGGGGAGUGUCAUGAAAGAGAAGCAUGGCCUGUGAGUUGGUGGGGCAUGGCUCCCAUCUGCUUAGUUGGGAGUUGGUAGGGCAUCUUGUGAGUUAGGGAGGGUUAGGGAUUGGUAACAUUAGAAUCCAGAACAAACCUUUGUUGGCAAAGUGGCUUUGGAGUUUCUAUCUGGAAUCCGAUUCUCUUUGGCAUAAGAUUGUUGUGAGCAAGCAUGGCUCUCAUCCUUUUGAAUGGAUGGCUUUUGGGGUUAAAGACACUUUUUUAAAUCCUUGGAAGGAUCUCUUUCGAGCUCCCUUCUUUUUUUGAGUUUUCUAGUUGUUUUGUGGGGGAUGGUAAGGACACUUAUUUUUGGGAGGAUCAGUGGGUAGGGGAGAACUUCCUAUGUUCGAUUUUUUUGCAUCUGUAUCAUUUAUCCUCUUCCAAAAAUUGCACUACCUCGAAUCUUUUGGUGAGAUAUGAGAAUUCCAUGUCUUUCUCUUUUGGAUUCCGUCGUAAUUUGACCAAUAAGGAGAUGACGGAGGUGGCUUCUCUUUUAUCCUUACUUGAGGGAUGCUCUUUUAGAGAGGGGAGAAGGGAUAUUCGUGUUUGGAAUCUUAAUCUUAGUCGAGGUUUCUCUUGUAAGUCUAUGUUAAGUCUGUUGUUGGAUCCCGCACUCCCUAAAGAGUUGGUUUUUGAUGUGGUGUGGAGGACUAAGGUGCCUAAGAAAGUUAGGUCUUUAUCUGGCACGUCUUUCUUGGUUGGGUUAAUAUCGUUGAUAGGAGAAGAAUUUUGCUUGUUGUGCCUUUUUGUUGCAUGUUGUGUUGGAAGGCGGAGGAUGAUCUUGUUCAUCUUUUUUGGGAUUGCCAGUUUGCAAGGGCCAUGUGGAGCUCCUUCCUUAAGGUGUUCGGUGUUAGCUUUGCUGGUUUACGUAGCAUCAAAGUGAUGAUUGAGGAGUUCCUCCUCCAUCUACCUUUAAGAGAUAAAUGGUUGUUUUUAAUGGCUUGUCGGGGUGUGCAUGGUUAUUUGAGACAUUUGGGGUGAGAGGAACGAUAGGGUGUUCCGGGGGAGAUGGAGAGGGAUCUUAGUGAGAUUUGGUCCUUAAUUAGAUUCCAUGUGUCUUUUUGGACUUCGAUUUCGAAGAACUUUUGUAACUUCUCCAUAGAUAAUAUUUUACUUAGUUGGUCCCCCAUUUUAUAAGUGGGGUGGCUUGGUGGGAUGUUUUUUUUGUAUGCCCUUGUAUUUUUUUCAUUUUUUUCUCAAUGAAAGCUGUGUGAUUUCAUAAAAAAAAAUGUCUGCAUUGGUGUGCCCUGUGUCAUUGGAAGGAAGAGGAUCUUGAUUCUUGACCACCUUCAUAUGGGAUUUCUAUUGCCAGUUUGCUUAUUCUCCUGUGAAGUCAUUCGUUUCGGAUGUUUAUGGGAAGUGUGGAUGGAGAAGAAUAGUCGCUUUUGUUGACCAGUCUUUUUAUAAUUAUCAGCCUGGUGUUAUUCUUUUAGCUUGGAGUCCUUUCUUGUUUAGCAAUGGACUUCUUUUGUAGACUUGUCUUUGUAUGCCCUUGUAAAUAUUUCAUAUCUCCUAAAUGAAAGCUCCUUUUCUUCUUAAAAAAAUAAAAGUCAACCACAAUGUCAAUGACACAAGUUCCUAUUGAGGAACCACAUGAUUUCUAGAAUUUACAGAGCGUGGUGUUUGUAUAUUUUUUUUUUUGCAUAAAUUUUAUCACCGGUCUCUUAUCUAUGACUUGCUUUGAGCACUGUGAACAUUUUUAUGCUUGCCCUUUGCACUCUCUACUACAUGGGUGAAUUAUUUUGAACAAAACAACUUGGGAGCUUGGUUUGUCUGGGUCUUCUUAUGCCAAAUCUUAAUUGGUUGUUGGAUGCUCUUAAUUCUUCUCAAGUUGCACACUCAGGCCAUCUGGCCAUUGAAGACGAUCAAUGAGGUUUGCCUCUGUAAUUGUUUGCUAGUUAUUGUGGAAGUGAAUACCAAGGAGUGUACACAAAUUAGAUACAAAUAUUGUGAGUUUGUUCAUUUUAUGGCAUUUCGACUGUGCCCUUCAGGCCUUCACAAAGCAUUGUUCGGUGACUACCCUGUUUUUGUUCAGCAGCUUGAUUGGCAGGUUCUGUUUGCAAUGGGUUUCCUUCGUGGGGUUUCAAAACCCCUUUCACUAGGUUGUUUUAUUUAUUUAUUCAAUUUGAUAUGAACAUACGAUUUCUCAUAAGAAAAAAAGUAGAUACAGGUGUUAAUGGUCCCCCCUCCCUCCCCCAAUGCUAUUAGCUUAACGCUCAAUGAAAGGUUACUUUUUAUUUGCCAGAAGGCAAGUAGGAUCAUUCGUAAAUCUGGCCCGCUUUAUUUAUAACCUGAUUUUCAAAUGUUUGGUAUUGCUUGAGCUUUUCUUUCAAGUCAUAAUGCCAGUUACCCGAAACCCAUCUUAGUAGUAACAUUUGGUAAAUUUUUAUGAUAUUCAGAUUGUAUGCUUAUCUGAUCCGUUCAUGGAAACUGUGAACAGUUUAACAGUAACUGGCUGGGAACCAGCAGAGGCUUCUAGACUGUACGAUGUUCUGGGAAAUCUCUUAGAGCACUGUUUCUCAAAUUUACAUAGCAUUUGGAAGAACCUGCAAUUCUGGCAAUCUCGUGCGGAGGCAAGUCUUUUUGUUCCCUUGUGUUUUUAACCAAUCUAUUUUAUGCAUAUAUCAAAGAUGCGUGGAAGAAAAUAUAGGUCCAAUAUAACUGUUUUUGUGUCUUCAAAAGAGCUGCUAUCCAGCGACAUCCUUCUUUCAAAAUGCAAAAUUAGAUUAUCUCAACGUUACAACCAAGAUUAGACUGAUCAGUCAUACUCCAGUUGUUCCUUUAAGUUUCUAUCUUCUUCCACAAACAUCCAAUGAGUGUAGAUGGGCUUUAGUUUACCCAAAGUACCAAAAAAUUGUUAAAACUGAGAACAACGUGCCCCCCCCCAAGAGUAGUCAGGAACAAUGAUGAAAGCUUCCCCUCUUUUUCCACACACUUUCAUGGAGACAAAUAAUAGAGGUAUCUUUUCCUGCAACAUAUGUUCAGUAACAAUCUUUUUCUGAGCGAUGCUCAAGGGGUUAAAUUGAUUGAAAUCUAAGUAAUGAAUUUUUAUAAGAAAUCUAAAUCAAUUUUUUGUAAUCUAAAGUAAAGAACAUGAAGAAGGAACUACAAGGAAAAUUCCUUUUGUUGAAAGUCCUUCCUUCAUGAUUUGAUGAAAGGGGCCUGCCAUCCUCUUCAGUUCACUGUGCUCACUGACUUUUUAAUGCAAAGCAUAUGAUUGAAUGAAAGGUUGUGUGUGCUUAUGUCAUUAUUUUGAUGAAAAUUUCAGGGUACAAAUGCUCAAAAGGUUUACUUUUUGAUUUGUGAGAGAGGUCCAAGGGCGUUUUUCAGUGGAACAGUGCAGUUAAUGCGCCAAAGUCUUAGGGAUGGUUUUUCCUUGCAACAUGUAGCUCGUGAGGCAUCUCUUUACAUAGCUCACCGGAUAAGUAUAUUGAGCAACCUAAGAUGUCAUCUUGCAGUUUUUGUGGCUCAGGUUUGGUUGCCCUUUUCAAUACUUACUUUUUCAAACGCAAUCUCAUCAUUUUUGUGGUUCUAUUCUAUCCUUGAAAAGACAGUUGGCUCACUCAUACACUUAAUGAGGUUUUUCAUAUUUUCAUUUGGCAAGUGUUUCAUAUAAAAACUUGUUGAUCGCUUUAGAACAUCUCUCCCUGUCUUUUGCCUUUCCCUCCUGCGGUAUAAUAACAGUUUAACUGCUUCACAUUUGAAUUUUAGCUCUCUCUCAAUUUCUUGUUGGGUUAUUUUGACUUUGUUCUUUUAUGGUUCUUGUAGGUCUUUAUGGAAAUUGACAAAAUAGGGGCAGAGGCAGUGGAUGGUCAAGAAAAUUCCUUACCUUCAUUGUUGGUUACAUUGAAUGGCUUAUUUCUCGAUCUAGAGGCAUCCAUUUGUCAACUGCAUGCAACACCUCAUGUAACUUGACAUUAUUUGUUAACUUUAUUGUGAAAAAUGCUGAAGCAGAAAUUAUUAUAAUUUCACAUUUCAGUUCCCAAUAUUUACUUUGUAAUUGACUGUGCAGAUGGAUUUUAUUGAUGACAGCGUUUCAUUUCCUCUAUUUGAAAAAGUACCAGAUGUGAACAAGGAGGGAUCUCAGUGGACAAGUUGUGAAAUUGGUGAUGCUAUCAACUUGCUUUAUCAGAACCUUCAUAAGUUGGACUCUUUCAUCUCCAAUCUUGUAAGAUCUCAUUUUAGAGCUCCUAUUAUUACUAAUUUAAUUUCACAACCUGAAAAAUUUUGUAGUCAAGAAGAAUACUUCCAAUUUGAUUUUCAAGAUCUGUGGCCACGAAUUCUCAGAUCAAAGGGAAUAUAUUGCUACUACUAUUCAUAACCGUUUGAUGAUUUACAACUCACCUUUAAGCCUGCACUAUAUAAGCACAUUUAUCAUUUUGCUGGAAAUAUAGCUCAUUUAAUGUUGUCAUGAUUCUGUCCAUUAUGGUGACAGCUUGAUAAAUUGAGAUUAAGAAAUAGUAUUAUCACCUACAACGUAAAAUUCUUUGCACUGAGUUUAUUUAUUUAUAUAUUUUUAUUUUAAUAAUGUUAUUAUUUUUUAAAAGGAAACCGAUCUCUUCAUUGAAGUAGCAAAAUGACAAUAAUGCUUAAGGUACAAAAAAACGGUACAAAAAGCGAGGGAGAAAUUUUCACUAAACCCUCGUUUCUUGAAUCAAGACCACAAGAAAUGAGGGUUUCAUACCAACAAGAUUCAACGAGCUCUCUUUGGUGCUUUUGAGGACGAGAGUCUAUAGGAACUCUCCUCUCUCCUCUCCCCACCCCGUCCUUCCACCUGUGAACAAUUUCCUCUGGUGACUUUCCUUCUUGGGUUUCUAUCCGUUUGCCGGUUCCAUUAGUUACUUCAAUACACUCAGCUGCCUCCCCAGUGGUUCGCUCAUCCCACAUAAUAGUCACUAGCUAUGGAGGUGGUCAGUUGCAAGGUGAACGGUCAGUUAUGAAUUUUGUUUGAUUCGGGUGGUUUUUCGUUGAAGAUGUGGAAGUUAACAAGAUUCUUUCAUUAGCUGAGUCUCACCUUCACUCGUUUGUGGAUCGAAUAUCAGCAUUACUUUAGGGGCCAAGUAAUCGUUUUUCGUCAGGAAUGGUCAUGAGAAAGCUAGGGUGAUAAGGCACUGUUGAGUCAAAUUUUCACCUCAUUUAUUACUACCAGUUUAGUGGAAACUUGACUGAACAGUGCCCACUCCUCUGAAGUGAAAAAGCUUAUCAAUCAAUUUGAUGAAAAGUCUUGUCUCCUUUUAGGAAAAACAGUCCCCACACCUCUGUAUAUGGAUCGUAAUCACUAAAGAUUAUUUGGGAGAAUCAAUAUAUUGUAUUCCAAUCAUUUCGGAAUUCAUAUGCUAUAGACACAUGUACAAGGAUUAUCUAAGGUAAGUAGUGGAAGCUAAUGAAGGGCAUAGUGUAAAUCACCCCUGAAUUUCUGGUAAAUUUACCUUUUAGUCAUACUACAACACUCUUCACUUUUGGGCUUGAAAUUGACAUGAGGCGAUGAGGGUCAGAACGUGGUUAUGAAUAUUAAUUGGCAGGAGAUGACCUUCAAGAUAGUUGUCUGAAUAUAUGGACUCUUGUGCCAUUUUAAAUCAUUAACCAAUCUAAACAAAGUUAAGCUGAUGGGUGACAUUAAACAUAAUUUUAUUCAUAGUUCAACACAAAAUACCAAUACAAAUACUAUUAUGCCCUCCUCAGGUCAGUAUUGAAAACGAAGUUACGGAGCACCAUGAGUUACUCCCUACAGUGAUGUGUUUAUUUUUUAUAGUUUAUGAAUACUCACUAAGAAGUGUUCAUUUAUGUGUGUCUUC
rnacentral:lncRNA from 1 species